CAGUGUCACAGGUCAUUAGGUUUGUUUUCAAAGGGGAGAUGAGGGCAUGGCUGAGCCACCUCACUUACUCAAAGGGAAGCCCCAGGGCUACACCAGCAGAAGCAUAACUGGUUGCAAAGUUACCCCACAGAUCGAGUUGUUGCCUUGAGUUAUUGAUCAGUCUUUUCCUUCCGUUUGGGAAGCAGGGGACAACAUAACCCUGUCUCAGAGCACCUCGUUAACUCAGGCACUACAGAUCCACUCCCCACAGAGGUGAUGUGAGAGCAAAGGCACGAGUGUGAAAUCUGUCGGACAGCCCAACAAGCUGCAGGCAGGGAGCAUGUGCUCGGGGCUCCUCUGCACUCUGUGGAGGGCACACCUCUGACCGCAGUGAAGCCACACGUAGCUAACGCUGCUGCGAGCAAGCAAAGGAUGAGGUUGGCUGCAGCAUUCAGAGGUUGUUCCUUUCCUCGAGCAACAUUUCCAAAUGCCUCCUGAAAGCUCUCCCAGGUCCUUCAGGUGCUGGAGGGACAUGGACAGACAUGGUCUCCUGGCACACCUGUCCUACCAACAGCAAAUCUGACAUAGCACAGGAAAAGAAGACAAAAAAACCUUUGUGCAUCCCAAAACUAAGGAGUUACAUAUACUUUGUCUGUCCAGAAAGACACAUAGCUAUAAUCAGACUCUUCUACAUACACCUUAUCCCACUCAUUUGGUGGGCACAAAGCAACCCGUUACGUACAGGGAAUGACACAAAACCUGCUGUCACACAACCUGCAUGGUACCGAGUGCUCACAGCACAGAAGCGAUGACCACCACUUUCUCCCCUACCUUAGGGUGCAAGUUUCACCCAGCCCCCACAGCAGCAGCGACCUUUAGAACUAUUCAAGCUUCAAGAAAGUCCAAAGUCUCCUCUGGGACUGGAUUCGCUCUGGGCUAGGCACUGUAAAACUGCAGGGGACUUUUUCCCAUUUUUUUGUGUUCUUAGUAGAAGGUGCCUGGGCUCGUUAGCAGGGAAUGGGAGUGCAGUUUGUGCACGGAUAAGCAACAGGGCUCAGCACAGAGCGGGGCUAAAUAACAAGUUGUGUUUCCUUAAUUUCUGCACAGAACUGCAGGAAGCGUGCAAACCCCAACAGCAAGUCUCUGCCCUCACCCCUUCAGCAACAUCGUGCUGCGAAAACUGCAAGCAGGGCACGGGCAAAGCUGGUUGACACACAAACAGACCACACUAUUUCCAAUAUCUAAAAUGGUUCCCAAUGUGCUUCAGGGCAGUAAACCACUCCUCACAUCCUUAGCUGGUUACUGAUUACCAGCGCCGAUAUCACUGCCACAGACAACGCCCAGGCUGCGAAGAUGCUCGUCCCCGGGAGAGGAACAUUUCCCCGUCCCACUUGAUACGGGGCACCAGUCUGCUCUGUGCUGGCCCAGCUCCGUGGUGAUAGUCCCAAGUAGGAAAUGCCAGAAGAUAUUACUGCCUUCUGCUUUGAUGUGCCUCAGUCAAAGGGAGAUUUAUCAAGCAUGGUCAGGGCGGCUUUCCCGCCCCUGCAUUUCUCCAUUUGCCUUUACAGCCCCACCCGUCCUCUCCACCCUCUUUCUGCCCCAUCUCUCCACGACACAAAGACACAACAGCAUCAGCUUUCUCUUGGGUGUGCCGGGGAACCCGCCUGCUCUCCUGGCUGGCUGGAAAUCACCAAGAGGAGCUUCUUGGGGAAAAGGAGGUGGGAAAACUCUGAGGGGAUGAUGCAAAUUGGGACAGCUCUUUCUGAGGGGACACCACAGCCUCCAGAUUUCUUUUCUUUCCGCUUUUCCCUUCUCACAGCUGUAAGGAAAUGGUACCACUGAAGAGGGAUGCAAAGCAGCAGCCAAGACAAGAAGGAAUCUCCCCUCUCUCAGCACCUGGACCCCUCACUAGCACAGUGUAUCAUCCUGGGCACGCAUCACUGCAGCCGGGCAGCAGACACCACGGCCACACGCAGGACACCACAGCCACCGUACAGAUUCUGCUGUCAAAUAAAGAACAGGACUCUUACUGCCUUGCAAAAGUAUUUCAGUGUUUCCUGAGUGAGUCUCAAACACACAACUUAGUGGAAAGCUUUUCUUGCCUGAGGAGCACCGGGAGCCUUAUGAAUAAAACACCUCCAGGAAGGUCUUUGCAGACGAUGACCCACACUCUGUCCUACCAGUCCUCCUCCACUACAGCAAACUUUUCCGAGGCUUUGCUCAGAGAAGAACAAAAUUAAAACAAGCACAUUGCUGCCCUUGAUCUCACUAAAAAGUUUCAGGUUUCUACAAACAGCCUCAGCAAGCUUUACAGUUCCUGACAUAUUGCUCCCAGAAACGUGGUGCCACCAAACAUGCCCCGUCUAUGACACUUAUUUUCCUACCACACCUCCACCUGAGAGGGGCCAGACCUGCCCACAGUGCCGAGCACCCAGACUCUUUUGCUCUCGCUUCUCUCUCCGUCCUUCCCCUUUCUCUGCUCCUGACUCCACCACCAGCAGCAGGAAGCAGCACAAGACAACCCAAACCAGACCCCACGAGCCAAAGCCGCAGACCAGCAACACUUCGCUAGGCUUCAGAUCUGAGUUUAAAGAAACCCCGUUAACACUUCCACUUCCAGAGGUGUGGUAGAAAUUACAUGGAUGCAACAUUCUUAAAUUUCAGCAAAAGCGGUGAAUUUAAUGCACUGUAAGCUUAUAUAUUUUAUUUUAGGAAGAUUUUUAUACAAUUUCCUUUGAAUAUGUCGCACUUUGUAGUAUUGAGGCUCAGUUAUUUAUUUCAUUCACUGGAGCAGAGACAUAAAACUCUGGAAAUACAACACACUGAUAGCAUUUCAUGUAUUUUUAAGACUGCUUCAAGAAAAUGACUGCAAACAAACCACAACAAGUAAACUCUGCAUCCCUAUGAAGCGUUCAGUCUUAAGGGUCUCAAGACAGAGGGUCCUCACACCAUGCAAGGCUGGCCUCUAAUUGAGAACAACUGUAUGGAUGUGAAAGCAUUUGUGAACCUUUAAAGCCAGAGCAUGGAAAUAAAGGCCAUUCCUCAUUUAAAAUGGCUGAACUGCUUUUCCUCAAACCCACAUGCAUGAAGCUGCUUUCAAAAGGAAACCAUCUGGAAGAGCGCAGCUCGAUGCAUGAAGUUUCAGCAAGUUAUAAGCAACUGUAAGUGCCAGGGAUGGAGCAAACACAAAAUGAAAAACACUUCAGCAACCUUAACCACUCCCGCCAGAGCCCAGCUCCAAAGAUAUUUAACUCAUGCACAGCCCUCGGAGCACGAGUAUUCCCAUGGAAGCCAAUACUUUAAAUUAUUCCCUGACCUAAGUACAGUCCUGAACUGGGGCCAGAAAAUAAAACUGCCAGCGUUUGGGCCUUCUCUCACUGCUAUCAAUAAGGAUGUUCCCUUACUCCUAGAGCCUCCUUUUCUGGUUAGCAUCGUGGUUUCUCCUGUUGCAGUCCUGCUUCCCAUGUCCCUACAGCUCACCGUGCCAUUGCAGAGGUCUGGGCAGGGCUGUCCCCCCAGCCAGACCCCAAAACCAGCUGCUGACCCCUACCAGCUAGGGAGAGCACCCACCCAGCCACACUGCGCCCACACAGACCCUCCAACGCUGCUGGGUAGGACAGACAGGGAGGAGGUAAAUGGCAAAUCCAGCAGGGUGACGGAGGAGAUGUUGCCUUCCCCCUCGUAUUCCUUGCAAUAGUUUGUGUGCUGAAGGAGGUGCUGUGCUCAAGACCCAAGCUAGCAGCGGUUUAUAGCUGCACAAAUGGAAAACAAGAAAUACCAGGGAAAGGAGGGAAGAGCAAACAGAGAACUCCCAGAUUAGGGCUGUUAGAAAAGGGCUUCCUUUACUAAUGGGAUUGCAAAAAUGCUGGGAAGCUCCAAACGAGAGCUGAACCACUUCGUGCAGGCGUUACUGCAGGCAUUUCAUAGACUGCUGCAUGCAUGUCACUGAAAACACACAGCGCUGCUGCUUACGCACAUGUCAACCCAAAAAGAGGAAUGGUGGAAAGGUGCAAACUCUGUCCAAGAAUUUCUUUUGUUCAGAAAGACACCCUAGUUUCUGUCUUCUAAUAAAAGACUGCAUUGAACCAUGGUUGCUCUACACAUUUGCCUGCAUCUGCUCCUUUCACCGUCUCCCAUGGGCUGUUGUGUUUUUUCUCAGACUCCCUUUCCUGAAAAACAAUGAAGUUGAGUUUCCUUAAUAGAAGUUGAGUUCCUGUCUGUCCGUCUAUCUCGUCCUCCUUUCCCACACCUGUGCAAAUCAGAAGAGUCCCUCAAAUAUAACCAUCACAGCCAGCCUACUGGUCUGGCAGCCGUGACUGGCAUCGCCGAGUGGUGCUGGCCGCAGCUGGGUUUACGUGGAUGCCCAGGGUGCUUGCACCAAUGCCCAAGGCACCCCGUGCCAGCAGCCCCGUGUUUCUUCCCAGCUAACAUUCCCCCAGAGCAUUUCCUUUCUACAGCCAAAGUCUCAACUUCCUGAGUCUUAGCAAACGUUUCCCAAACUGAGUCUUUGCAAUCAUUUCUUUCAGAGCUGAGCCCGGGUGACAAACCUCAGGCUGCCGAGACACCAUUGCUCAGAGGAUAUUUCACAUUACUCAGCCGGGCAGCAUCCUGGGUGAUUUGGACAGGAAAGAUGGGAAAUGCACUGGAAUAGAACUGGAUGGUUUAAGUUUAUCAUCUGCUCAUCUCUUGAUAGAGAUCAGUAUAGAUUAGAGGUUGUUACCAAGCAGCCCCUGGAAGGAACCACAGAAGAUUCAGCUGCCUUACUCCUGCAGAGCCAAGCCUUUGGAAACCAGUGACUCUAUUUGAGACUAAAUACCGAGUUUGCA